GGUGAGAGGACAGAUAACAUGUAACAACUGAUUGUUUCAAUAUCACCAAUAUACAAUACAAACGAGUGGAGAGGGAGUGAAGCAUUCAUCGACUGGUACAAACUGGCGCACACACAACCAUGCAAAGAAAUGCUCACAUACAAGAGAGGGGGUGAGGUUGUGGGAGGAUUCAGGAAACAACAUUCAUUUGUGAUUUUUUGAUAAUGUGCCAUUGCUAGAGGGGGACAUUCAGAAGUCGUGCUGUGUUUAUAAAAUGUCAUUUAAGUGUAUGCUAAGUUAUAAUGGAAUGACACUAACACUGGCUAACAGAAGAUACUCCAUAAUCACACUGAGUUGAAAUUAAAUCGACUUAGUGCAGCUUUUUCAGUACUGUAUUAUCAGUGUGUAUUCCUCUCUACUACUCUUUACGAGAGGAGAAGACAUGAAGGCAAAAUGAAACAAUGUAGGCCUCCAGGCCUCUUGAGAGAAGCACUGUUGUCUCCGCAUGCAGGACACAAUCCAGAGAGACUAACUACAGCCCACUGUUUGUUUUCCACUCUCCUGGAUCACUGGAUAAAAACAUGCACAACUGCAUCCAAACAGAGGCAACUCACACAAAACGUUUUAUAGAAGAAAAAUCAUUUGGUGCUCAGAUAAAAUAUGGGAAACACAGCCCAGGACCGAUGCUUCAUUCUGACCUGUUCUGCAAUAUGGUGUUGGACCUGGACAAAAUACAAUACACAACAAUGGCAUGAAAUGAUCUUUGCUGACCUGCAGCCUGAGUGCAGAACUCCACACCAGCUUCUUUCCUCUCCCUCUGCUCCAGCGGCAGCUGCCAUGGCACCUGGUGCGGCUGAGCCACCACUGUCACUUUGUACACGGUCAGG